GAAAAGAGACUUGUGUCCAUCAAGUUCAGCCUUCCUCACAUUUGUUUUUUGCUGUUGAUCCAAAAGAAGGCAAAAAAAACCCAGUUUGAAGCACAAUUUUGCAACAAGCUAGGAAAAAAAUUCCUUCUUGACCCCAGAAUGGCAGAUUUAUCCUUGGAUCAAGCAGUUAUUACCCUACAUUGAAAGAUUAUAUCCUUGAAUAUUCUGUUUUUGCAAGUAUGCAUCUAGUAGC